GAUGAACGCUAGCGGCAGGCCUAACACAUGCAAGUCGAGGGGCAGCACGUCUUCGGAUGGUGGCGACCGGCGCACGGGUGCGUAACGCGUAUGCAACCUACCUCUUACAGUGGGAUAGCCCAGAGAAAUUUGGAUUAAUACCGCAUAGUAUACAGAUUCAGCAUUGGGACUGUAUUAAACAUUUANGGGUAAGAGAUGGGCAUGCGUUCUAUUAGUUAGUUGGAGUGGUAACGGNACCCCAAGACAGCGAUAGAUAGGGGCCCUGAGAGGGGGAUCCCCCACGACUGGUACUGAGACACGGACCAGACUCCUACGGGAGGCAGCAGUGAGGAAUAUUGGACAAUGGGCGAGAGUCCUGAUCCAGCCAUGCCNCGUGCAGGAGACGCCC
rnacentral:rRNA from 1 species